rnacentral:rRNA from 1 species
CCUACGGGAGGCAGCAGUGGGGAAUAUUGGACAAUGGGCGAAAGCCUGAUCCAGCCAUGCCGCGUGUGUGAAGAAGGCCUUCGGGUUGUAAAGCACUUUCAGUGGGGAAGAAAGCCUUGGGGCUAAUACCCUCGAGGAAGGACAUCACCCACAGAAGAAGCACCGGCUAACUCCGUGCCAGCAGCCGCGGUAAUACGGAGGUGCGAGCGUUAAUCGGAAUUACUGGGCGUAAAGCGCGCGUAGGCGGUCUGAUAAGCCGGUUGUGAAAGCCCCGGGCUCAACCUGGGAACGGCAUCCGGAACGGUCAGGCUAGAGUGCAGGAGAGGAAGGUAGAAUUCCCGGUGUAGCGGUGAAAUGCGUAGAGAUCGGGAGGAAUACCAGUGGCGAAGGCGGCAUUCUGGACUGACACUGACGCUGAGGUGCGAAAGCGUGGGUAGCAAACAGGAUUAGAUACCCCAGUAGUC